CAGGGGUCUUCUUGCGCCACAGCAGCCACAGCCGCAGCGGGGCCUUCGGUUGGUCUUGCGGGCUGGGGAGCUUCAGCAGGACGUCGACGAGGCCCUUCGGCAUCACGCCAACCGCGCCCCUCUUCUUAUCCUGCAGGAUCCCCAUCACUUGGUGGAGGAGUACGUCAGAGGUGGAGUUUGGGUGAAUGUGGAGUCGGGGUCGUGGAGGGAGGCGUUGGUGGAGAGACUGGCAGUCACGCCACGCACGCCGCUUUAUUUGCGUCUGCAACAUGCUGUGGC